rnacentral:rRNA from 1 species
GACGAACGCUGGCGGCGUGCUUAACACAUGCAAGUCGAACGGAAAGGCCCUGCUUUUGUGGGGUGCUCGAGUGGCGAACGGGUGAGUAACACGUGAGUAACCUGCCCUUGACUUUGGUAUAACUUCAGGAAACUGGGGCUAAUACCGGAUAGGAGCUCCUGCUGCAUGGUGGGGGUUGGAAAGUUUCGGCGGUUGGGGAUGGACUCGCGGCUUAUCAGCUUGUUGUUUGGGUAGUGGCUUACCAAGGCUUUGACGGGUAGCCGGCCUGAGAGGGUGACCGGCCACAUUGGGACUGAGAUACGGCCCAGACUCCUACGGGAGGCAGCAGUGGGGAAUAUUGCACAAUGGGCGGAAGCCUGAUGCAGCAACGCAGCGUGCGGGAUGACGGCCUUCGGGUUGUAAACCGCUUUCGCCUGUGACGAAGCGUGAGUGACGGUAAUGGGUAAAGAAGCACCGGCUAACUACGUG